rnacentral:lncRNA from 1 species
GAAAAUGGAGGUGAUUAUAUAGUGGUAUGAGUGUGGUGAGUGAUUGUAGUGAAGUGGUGUAGAAAAUAUUGUGAGUGUAGUGUGUGUAGAAGAUAGAGAGAAUGAUUUUAGAGUGGAGCUCUUGUCUCCAAAGAACUUAGAUAAUAUUAGAUAGAGUGAUGUUUUUUGAGAUUGUUGAGAUUAUGUGAGAUUGGUUACAAAUGGCUCACAAGAGCUCUAUUUAUAGGUGUGGGAAGAUCUCUCUAGAUCCCACUACAUUUAGCUUGUAUCUAGAAUUUUCUACUAACAUCUACUUAAGGAAUUCUCUAAAUACUAUAUGGAAAAUAUCUAAUCUCUAGAAUACUCAUACUUGUCCUAGUAUUAUUUAGAAUACUCUAGAUUGAUCUAGCUAGUGGUGAAUUCUCUAGAAUAUACAUAGCUUAUUCUCACCUAGAAUAUUCUAGAUAAAUGCAUCACACUUCAAUACUCCUCCUUGAUGCAUUUAUCGGUUACUCCAAGCAUUCUUCGUAGAAACUGGAAUCUGUCCCUUGGUAGUGCUUUUGUGAAGAUGUCCGCCAACUGCUCUUCUGUUGGACAAUACUUCAUCUCGAUAAGUUUCUUUGCUUCAACAUCUCUCAAGAAGUGAUACUAGAUGUCGAUGUGCUUCGUGCGAUUGUGCUGAACUGGAUUCUUAGCCAUUGCUAUAGCUGACUUGUUAUCACAGUAGAUCUCUGUCGAUGAGUCUUGCGGUUCGCCCAUAUCCGCUAGUAUUCUUCUAAGCCAUAUAGCUUGACAUGCUGCUUCGGCUGCUGCAACAUACUCAGCUUCUGCUGUUGAUAGUGCAACUGAGUCUUGCUUCUUUGAUCCCCAAGAAAAAAUUCCUGAGCCAAACUUGAAAGCAUAGCCUGAUGUGCUUUUCAUGUCAUCUUGAGAUCCAGCCCAAUCACUAUCGCUAUAUCCACUGAUCUGUGAGUCAGACUUUGGUUUGUACCAGAUACCAUAGUUGAGCGUACCUUGCAGGUAUCUGAGAAGUCUCUUUGCUGCUCCAUAGUGGGUCUCCUUCGGACUUUCCAUGAAUCUGGAUAGAAGGCUUGUUGCAUACUUGAUGUCUGGCCUUGUUGCCGUCAAAUAUAGUAGACUCCCAAUCAAACUUCGAUAGUUUGUAGAAUCCGUCGGUUUUGACCCAUCUUCUUUCUUCAACUUCUCAUUUGGAAUGAGAGGUGUAACCACUGGCUUGCAGUCUUGCAUCUUGAACUUCUUGAGCAUAUCUUCAAUAUACUUCUUUUGUGAUAGGAAGAUGCAUUCUUCCUCUUGACUUAUCUCCAUUCCGAGAAAAUAGUGCAUUAAUCCUAAGUCCGUCAUCUCAAAGGUGCUCAUCAUGUCUCUCUUGAAAUCCUCGAUCAAUUUUGUGUUAUUUCCUGUGACAAUUAAGUCAUCAACAUAAAGAGAGACAAUCAGGAUGUCCGUACCUAGAGUUUUGAUGUAUAGAGUUGCUUCGUUCUUGCUCCUCAUGAAUCCUUGACCGGUGAAAUAUCCGUCUAUUUUGCUGUACCAGGCUCGUGGCGCUUGUUUGAGCCCAUAGAGUGCUUUCUUGAGGCGAAGAACUUUGCCUUCUUGCUUUGUGAAUCCUUCUGGCUGCUCCACAUAUAUCUUGUCUGUUAGAUCUCCAUUGAGAAAUGCCGACUUAACAUCAAGUUGAUAGAUUUUCCAUCUCUUUUGAGCCGCCAGAGCUAUGAGUGCUCGAAUUGUGUCCAUCCGUGCCACUGGAGCAAACGUUUCUGUGUAGUCGACUCCUGGUACUUGAGCAUAUCCUUUUGCGACAAGUCUUGCCUUAUGCUUCUGGAUCGAACCAUCAGGAUUCAGCUUUGUCUUGAACACCCAUUUGACUCCAAUGACUUCCUUGUCACUUGGAAGAUCCACCAACUCCCAAGUAUCAUUCUUUUCUAUCAUUUUUAUCUCCUCCUCCAUUGCUUUAAUCCAAACUUUCUCUUUGGAUGCUUCUGCAUAGUUACUUAGCUCCAAAGAACAAAAGUUGCAUGUCUCAUAUAUAUCAGUGGAUUCAUAUAAAUCUGCUAGAGUUCUUACCUGAAAAGGUGGAGAGUCUGGUGAGGAGUCUGAGUCGGAUCCACUUGAGGUAUUGGCUUCUGAAGAGGACCUUGGUGGGCUUUGUUGAUCUUUCUCCAUGUUCUGUGACUUCUUUUAGGAGUGUAGUUGUUGUCUGCCUUUCAACACUUUCUGUCUCCCAAUUCCAGGAGGCUUGUUCGUCAAAUUCCACGUCUCGACUUGUCACCAGCUUCUUGGUCUCAAGAUUGUAGAUUCUAUAACCCUUGGAUUUAGAGCUGUAGCCGAGGAAGAUUCCCUUCUCCGUCUUGUCCUCCAGUUUAUGUCUUUUUACUGAGGGAAUGUGGAUGUAGCAGAUACUUCCAAAGACCCUCAAAUGUUUGGCUGAAGGCUUUUGUCCUGACCAAGCUUCAAUCGGCGUCUUGUUUAGCACGGCCUUUGUUGGACAUCGGUUGAGUAGGUAGACCGAUGUAUAUACUGCCUCCGCCCAAAACUUCUUUGGCAAUCCUUUCUCCGCCAGCAUGGAUCUCGCCAUCUCCAUGACUGUUCGAUUAUUUCUUUCUGACACGCCGUUUUGUUGUGGAGUGUAGGCCACCGUUAGUUGAUGCUCCACACCUUCAUCUUCACAGAACUUGUUGAACUCUUUUGAGUUGUAUUCGGUACCUCGAUCGCUUCUCAGUGUCUUUAUUUUGCGACCACUUUGGUUCUCCACAAAGUUCUUAAAUCUCUUGAAGAUUCUAAAGACUUCUGAUUUUUCUUGGAGGAAAUAUACCCAAGUCAUUCUAGAGUAGUCAUCAAUAAAGAGGAUGAAGUACCUGUUUUGGUUUACUGAAGGUGUGCGCAUUGGACCGCAAACGUCGGUGUGGACAAGCUCUAGUAUCUCCUUGGCUCGCCAUGUUUUCUCCGUUGGAAAUGGUUGUCUGUGUUGCUUUCCGAUCAUGCAUCCUUCGCAUACACCUUCUCUUUCAUUUAGAAGAGGCAUAUCUCUCAUCAUAUUUUUCUGAUGAAGUAGCCUUAAGGCAUUUAGGUUGAAAUGCCCAAAUCUCCGGUGCCAUAGACUCGUAUCGUCGAGUUGAGCCACCAUUGCCUUUUGUGGAUAUUGCCAUUGAAUGGGAAAGUUUCUAUUUUUUCCCAUUUUUACUACUGCAAUAUCUUGGUUAUUUUUCUUGUCGUAAAUUCGACAAGAAUCUUUCUCAAAGUGGAGGGCAUAUCCACUUUCCAUCAUUUGGCCAACACUUAAUAGACUUUGUGCAAGACGAGGUACUAGGAGAACAUUUCUAAUAAAUCGCGUACCUUUAUUAGUUUCUAUGGCAAUUGUACCUUUCCCUUUCGUCUCCACCAGUUCUCCAUUGCCCAUCUUCACCUUCGUCUUGACUGAAGUAUCUAACUCACGGAAUAUGGUCUCGUUGGAUGUCAUGUGGUUGCUGCAUCCGCUAUCAAUGUACCAUUCUUCUUCUCGUGUCUUCUGUUGCCGAGUGACAUGCAUAGAACAUGUACUCCUUCUCUAUUUUGAUUUUCUGAAUAGUUGGCUUGAUGAUUUCUUCUAUCUCUGCAAUCUUUUUCCACAUGCCCGAACCUUUUGCAGUUUUUGCACUGUGGCUUUCCUCGAUGAUAGCAGUCCUUCUCUAAGUGAUUUGUCUUCUUGCAAAUUCCACAUGGUGGAAAAUUUGCCUUGCUCUCCUUGUUGCUGGAGCUUCCUUCCUUGUGAUUGCUUUUAAAAUUUCCGCCGCUUCUUGACUUAUUGCCUCUAAUGUUGAGCUUGGACUGAAAGGCACUCUCUAGUGAACUUUCAUGUCGCUUGCUCAAUCGUUGCUCGUGUGCUUCCAAGGAACCCAUCAGCUCCGCGACAGACAUUUUUGAUAAAUCUUUUGAUUCUUCAAUCGCCGCCACUACUGGAUCAUACUUCUCGGUAAGGCUGAUUAAGAUCUUCUGUAUGAUCCUUUCAUCGGAGACGUUAUCUCCGUAUGACCGCAUUUGAUUGAUUAUUUCCAUUAUUCUUGAGAAAUAAUCUUUUGCGGCUUCUGAAUCUUUCAUUUUAAGAUUCUCUAGUUCUCGCCUUAAACUUUGCAGUUUAAUGGUUCGAACUUUAACGUUUCCUUGGAACUCCUCCUUAAGGAUAUCCCAAGCUUCUUUUGCAGUAGUGGCUCGAAUAAUUCUUGUCAUGAUAGAAUCACUAACAGAUUGUUGGAGAAGAUAAAGAGCUUUAGCAUUUUGUUGCUUUAAUUUCUUACGUACCUCGGAUGAGGAUGUCUUGUCGAUAUCUUCUCCCGGCAUGGUGAUUCCUUCUUCAAUGACAUCCCAAAGAUCAUGGGAUUCAAGGCAAGUCUUCAUACGAACACUCCAAUAGUCAUAGUUUUCUCCAUUGAAUAUUGGAGUCGUGAUGGAGAGACUUGACGACGCCAUAACGCCCGCUUAUGAUCGAACAAGCUCUGAUGCCACUUGUUAGAAAAUUGGAGGUGAUUAUAUAGAGGUUUGAGUGUGGUGAGUGAUUGUAGUGAAGUGGUGUAGAGAAUAUUGUGAGUGUAGUGUGUGUAGAAGAUAGAGAUAAUGAUUUUAGAGUGGAGCUCUUGUCUCCAAAGAACUUAGAUAAUAUUAGAUAGUGAUGUUUUUUAAGAUGUUUGAGAUUAUGUGAGAUUGGUUACAAAUGGCUCACAAGAGCUCUAUUUAUAGGUGUGGGAAGAUCUCUCUAGAUCCCACUACAUUUAGCUUGUAUCUAGAAUUUUCUACUAACAUCUACUUAAGGAAUUCUCUAGAUACUAUAUGGAAAAUAUCUAUUCUCUAGAAUACCAUACUUGUCCUAGUAUUAUUUAGAAUACUCUAGAUUGAUCUAGCUAGUGGUGAAUUCUCUAGAAUAUACAUAGCUUAUUCUCACUUAGAAUAUUCUAGAUAAAUGCAUCACACUUCAAUAAUGGUGCUUCCUAUGGGGAAAUGACUCCUCUGGUAAAGAUGACUCCUCUGGUAGUGAUGGCUUCUCUGGCAAUAGCCAUUUUUCCGCGUGAUUCUUCUGAUGAAGAUGAUUCCUCUGAUUUAUGUCCCUUUUUCUACUCUGCACAUAUUACUCCUCAUCACUUAUGACUAAAUGUGACAGUUAAUUAUUCUGCNNNNNNNNNNNNNNNNNNNNNNNNNNNNNNNNNNNNNNNNNNNNNNNNNNNNNNNNNNNNNNNNNNNNNNNNNNNNNNNNNNNNNNNNNNNNNNNNNNNNNNNNNNNNNNNNNNNNNNNNNNNNNNNNNNNNNNNNNNNNNNNNNNNNNNNNNNNNNNNNNNNNNNNNNNNNNNNNNNNNNNNNNNNNNNNNNNNNNNNNNNNNNNNNNNNNNNNNNNNNNNNNNNNNNNNNNNNNNNNNNNNNNNNNNNNNNNNNNNNNNNNNNNNNNNNNNNNNNNNNNNNNNNNNNNNNNNNNAUUCUUCAAUCGCUGCCACUACUGGAUCAUACUUCUCGGUAAGGCUGAUUAAGACCUUCUGCACGAUCCUUUCAUCGGAGACGUAUCUCCGUAUGACUGCAUUUGAUUGAUUAUUUCCAUUAUUCUUGAGAAAUAAUCUUUUGCGGCUUCUGAAUCUUUCAUUUUAAGAUUCUCAAGUUCUCGCCUUAAACUUUGUAGUUUAAUGGUUCGAACUUUAACAUUUCCUUGGAACUCAUCCUUAAGGAUAUCUCAAGCUUCUUUUGCAGUAGUGGCUCGAAUAAUUCUUGCCAUGAUAGAAUCACUAACAGAUUGUUGGAGAAGAUAAAGAGCUUUAGCAUUUUGUUGCUUUAAUUUCUUACGUACCUCGAAGGAGGAUGUCUUGUCGAUAUCUUCUCCUGGCAUGGUGAUUCCUUCUUCAAUGACAUCCCAAAGAUCAUGGGAUUCAAGGCAAGUCUUCAUACGAACACUCCAAUAGUCAUAGUUUCCUCCAUUGAAUAUUGGAGUCGUGAUGGAGAGACUUGAUGACGCCAUAACGCCCGCUUAUGAUCGAACAAGCUCUGAUACCACUUGUUAGAAAAUGGAGGUGAUUAUAUAGUGGUUUGAGUGUGGUGAGUGAUUGUAGUGAAGUGGUGUAGAGAAUAUUGUGAGUGUAGUGUGUGUAGAAGAUAGAGAUAAUGAUUUUAGAGUGGAGCUCUUGUCUCCAAAGAACUUAGAUAAUAGAGUGAUGUUUUUGAGAUGUUUGAGAUUAUGUGAGAUUGGUUACAAAUGGCUCACAAGAGCUCUAUUUAUAGGUGUGGGAAGAUCUCUCUAGAUCCCACUACACUAACUUGUAUCUAGAAUUCUCUACUAACAUCCACUUAAGGAAUUCUCUAGAUACUAUAUAGAAAAUAUCUAAUCUCUAGAAUACCAUACAUGUCCUAGGUAUUAUUUAGAAUACUCUAGAUUAAUCUAGCUAGUGGUGAAUUCUCUAGAAUAUACAUAGCUUAUUCUCACCUAGAAUAUUCUAGAUAAAUGCAUCACACUUCAAUA